GACGAACGCUGGCGGCGUGCUUAACACAUGCAAGUCGAGCGAGGCUCCUCCUUCGGGAGGAUGCCCUAGCGGCGAACGGGUGAGUAACACGUGGGCAACCUGCCCCUAGCACUGGGAUAACCCCGGGAAACCGGAGCUAAUACCGGAUAUGACCACGGACGGCAUCAUCUCGUGGUAGGAAAGUAUUUAUCGGCGUAGGGAUCGGGCCCGCGGCCUAUCAGCUUGUUGGGUGGGGUAAUGGCCUACCAAGGCGACGACGGGUAGCCGGCCUGAGAGGGCGACCGGCCACACUGGGACUGAGACACGGCCCAGACUCCUACGGGAGGCAGCAGUGGGGAAUAUUGCGCAAUGGGCGAAAGCCUGACGCAGCGACGCCGCGUGAGGGAUGACGGCCCUCGGGUUGUAAACCUCUUUCAGCUCCGACGAAGCGAAAGUGACGGUAGGAGCAGAAGAAGCACCGGGCCAAC
rnacentral:rRNA from 1 species